GAUGAACGCUGGCGGCGUGCCUAAUACAUGCAAGUCGAGCGGAGAAUUUAGCAAUAGAUUCUUAGCGGCGAACGGGUGAGUAACGCGUUGGUGACCUGCCUCGAAGUUUGGGAUAACAGUUCGAAAGGACUGCUAAUACCGGAUGUGAUCGCGGAGAUUAGAGGCUCUGUGAUUAAAGGAGAAAUUCGCUUCGAGAGGGGCCUGCGUCCCAUCAGCUAGUUGGUAAGGUAAAGGCUUACCAAGGCGAUGACGGGUAGGGGACCUGAGAGGGUGGCCCCCCACAAUGGAACUGAAACACGGUCCAUACACCUACGGGUGGCAGCAGUAGGGAAUAUUGCAUAAUGGGCGAAAGCCUGAUGCAGCAACGCCGCGUGUGCGAUGAAGGCCCUUCGGGUCGUAAAGCACUUUUGGAGGGGAUGAGGAAGGACAGUACCCUUCGAAUAAGCUUCGGCUAACUAACGUUGCCAGCAGCCGCGGUAA
rnacentral:rRNA from 1 species